CCCCCACCCUAAUGAUUCAUCCACCACCUCCGAACACCCCCCCCUGCGCCUUCACCGUGAUUCACACCCACUCCCCGAGCUAAAUUAUCGCUGCGGCCCCUCGGAGAGCUCCAUCACUCUCCCUCUCCAUCUUCGGGUUAUCAUCAAACAAGUAUAUGAGCUGAGACCGGCGCCUGAUUGCAUUGAGAGCCGAGCUCGGCAGUUUUUAUGAGACGAUGCGAAUUUCAUCGCGCGCCCAAACUCACACGCCGCUGGCUUUGAUGGCACUUCCGCGAGGAAGAGUUUUCCAUCUUGAAAUGCUUCAGUGUUUACAAGUGAUGACGCCGAGUCGAUUUAGUGGAGGGCAGCGUAAUUUCACAGGCAGGACACAAUAAAAGUUGAUUAAAUUAAGGUGGAGUGGAAUAUAUAAUCACCAGGGACCCAUUCGUAUUCCUUUCAUGCAACUCUUAUAUAUCAUGUGACCAAAGCAACAACUGAAGUUUGCAUCCCGCUCCAUCAGAAGAGGUCACAAAGAGAACAACGUAAAACGGUUCUUUAUUGAGUGGUCAAAGGUCACAAUACAGCAGGCAGGUUUAAGGCCCAGCUAGAGAUUAUUGCGGUAAACAAUUGGGGAUCAAUGUCCGUGAAAAGUCUGUAGCAGAUUUUUUAGUCUGUGAGAUUCAAUUGAAUCACUAAGGAUUUGUUUGUUGGGCCCAGGGCUCAAGUGAAUAGGAUUUCCUGAUACUAUAAACAGUCUUGUGAAUUUUCACAUUAUUGUAUUUGGGUAAACACAUUAUUACAACAUUUGGUGACGUAAUGAAUCAAAUAGUCCACCAGACGUGAAUAUUGGAGAAACUAUUGGAUGGAUGGCCACAAACAAACAUUUGUGGGUUGGAGGCAGAAAGAUAUUGCAAAUCCGAGCAAAACGAACCCCAAAAUAUCUAGAGGUCAUUGAGAAAAUAUGCUUAUUUGUAAUUAUGGUGAACCAAGUCUUUAAUGCAUCCACACAGAAGCACGGACCUCUGUCCCCACACAGUCACACACGGCUACCAAGGGGGUGAUCUGGCAUGUUCCGGGCCCCAUGAUUAAAGUGUCUUGCUCUCACCUGCCCAAGUCCAAUCAGGGCCUGUGCUGAUUGCAGCAGCUUGCUGGAGACAAGAGAUGGGUAACUGGUGGGGAUAGGGCCUCCAACACUGCUGAAGUGACGCUGUGCUGGUGCCAUGGCAGGGCUGCAGAAAGCUGCAGCCCCGGGGAGGCGGCAGCUCCGCUACCCUCUCCACUCCUCUCUGGCCAGACGGGGCGAAUCAAUCAUCUCCAAAGAUGUCAGCAUCUGCCCAAGUAAUUUCAGAUUGGAAUAAAUGGCAGAUGGGGAUGUUGUUCCCUCUGUUUAAUCAGUUCCACCAAAUGUGGUUUUAUCUCUUAUAAAAUGAAACCAUCUGUAGCACGUAGGUGUAAGGAUCAAGUGAGGGAGGACGGAGGGAGACGGCGACAGAGGGAGAGAUGGGAGACGUGUUUGUGUGUGUGUGUGUUUAGCUUUGCAUGGAUGUGGCAGUGCAUUUUUUACGCGUCUUUGUGUGUGUGUGUGUGUGUGUGUGUGUGUGUGUGUGUGUGUGUUGCGUGUGCGUGGUGACGGAGGGGGGAGCGCGAGAUGGAACACUAUGAAACAGAAGCAGAAUAGUGGGAGUGAAAUAAGAAGAAAAAAAAAAUAGAAAAGCACUUAUCCAUUAAAAAGAGGGAAAAUGUAAUCUUACUGCGAGCUCACACCUCCACUCUAAUCUCCCAUUUCUCCCUCACAGGAGUACCACCCAGGGGCCAUCACCAUUAUAUCCAGACCCAUCUAUUUCUUUCGCCGCCUCCAACCAGACACAGGGGCUGUAAUUUGGUCCCUGCCGAGGCAGAGACAUCCCUGAUAAAUCCCCUUGUUUUUAACCGGGGAUGAUAGUGUGAAAGUAUUAAAGCUCUCACAGCUCCUGCUUUGGGGAUUGUGUUGGUGACACUUUACUUUAGGAUGGCCUCAGUUAAAUGUGCAGUAAUCUAUAUAAAGUCUGAGCAGGGGUACAAAAUGCAACUGUGUUUCACUAAAAAUGUAAAAUUCAAGGCAACAAGGUCAAAACAAGCAGCCACAUCUGCACAGGUGCUCUGACACCCUGAUGUUACACCCUCGUAAGGCCGUUAUGCAAAAGAGAGACUUUUGAGUCUUGAGAGAAGGAGAGAUGGGGUGGGUGGCUGCGUCCUGCCUUCACAUGUUCUGCCUUAAAUAGCUGUCAUUAAUGAAAGUCUAACAGGGUUAUUCGCUUGAGACAUUUUCACUCUAGUAUCAUUCACAUCCCCAAAGAGAAGAUUGCUUAACUGGAGUAAUUUAACCCCCAGAAAUCCCCUUUGAUUUUUAUAUAUUUUUAAAUGUUACGCUUAAACAGUAACCAAAUGAAAUGCUUAAACAAAGACGACAAAUUUGAGAGGAAAGAUUUGUAAUUCAAUAAAAAAAUCACACAUCGACAAAAAACAGGACUUUUAGUCCCAGAGUGUCGACUGGAAGGCAGUCCUCCUAUUAGACUGCCAACAUUAGGAUUACACUGACAGCCAAAAACAAGUAUUGGGCAAACUGUUAUUUGAUCAUUUUUGUAAACCAAUCAUUAAGCUUUAUUUGUCCACUUGGCCGAAGACUUAUAAAUCUUAAUUGUUUUAGACAAUUAGGCCUUUAUCGAUUUAUUAAAUCAAUAAAGGCCUACAGUAUGCCAGUAAAAUUAAACACUAUUAUCCCAGUUUCAUUUGAAAAUAAAUCCCAGAUGUGUCAGAAUUGAGGGAUGUAUCAUAUUUAGUAACUUUAUACUCACAUGAGACAAGUUUUAAUCUAAAUGUAUUUAAAUAUGGAAUAUGGGAAAAUUAAUAUGAAUUUCUGAAAUGUAAUUCAAUAAUCACAUUCCAUGUUUUAUCCCAUUUCAAAUUGUCAUUUAAUUAUUAAAGCAUUAAAUCAAAAGCUAUAAAAAGGAAAAGGCAAUGUCUGAUGUGAUUAAUCCCUUUUGAGAAGGGAUGAUUUCAGAGUACUAAAAAUGUCCAUAUUCAAUAUAUUUGUCAUUUAUUAGUUUAAGUGAACUGCUGGAUUUAAAAGGUCUUAACAUAUUUGUGAAAUGUUUCUAAGCCUUCAUAAUCCUAAAUACGUUUUUAAACAAUUCCAAAUGUUUUGUAGAAUCACUAAUAAAUUGAAUCACCACAUGUUAAAACAUUUAGUAAUAGCUGUCAUUUCUCAUAUUGAUAUUCAGAUUUGAUUGAUUGAAGAUUGAAGUCAGAUUUGAAAAUCAGUAGAAAAUACCCUCAUAUAUGUUUUUGAGAGCCUACAUAUGCUUUAAAUGCAGUCUUAAGCUUCUGUCAAGCUUCUCAUUAUUAAAUGAUUGUUCGAAGAUACUAAGUUGUUUCAUGCACAGAUCUUAUAUUGUUAGUUUCUCAAAAUCUAAUCCAAUGUCUUCCAAUAUACUAAAUGUACUAUAAUAUAAAAUGUACAAUAUACUCAUUAUCCUGUUAUGCAGUGAAGUGAGAUGUAUUGCUCACUUUGUUGCAGAGGAUGAUUUCAGUCUUGUGUUGAGAGCUAAAUAGACAUGCUGAGAGUCUACUACACCAGUUAACGUCCACUUUAUUUUCUGGCCUAGCUUUAUUGAUUUUUAAUAAUAACACAGACAAAAAUGGCCGCCUGUAUUUUUUAAAUUGAUGUCAAGUAAAACUGGGCCAUUCAAAACUGGGUAUUUUAAAACCUGUGAUUUGACACCAGGUAAUGCACAACGGACGCAUUCGUAUGACAGCAGUUUUUACAUUAGUGAAAAAUAACAUAUCACACAGUAAAUAAAUGGCCCUCGCCUUUACUCUUUAUGUCUUCUCUAUUCUGUCCCUGAUGGGAUGCUGCCGCUUCCGAGAUGAUUUGUUAAUUAGACUGUCUAGACGUUGCUCGACUGCGCUCGGUGCAGCUGGCCCAUUGGAGAUUGUGGCCCGUAACUGUGGGUGACCAUUAACAGGUUAUCGGGCCAAUCCCGUGACAAGUGACCAAUCAGAUCCAGUUGGACUGGAGAGUGAAGAGAGGACGAGAGAGCGAGAGACAGAGAGAGCGUGAGACACGACAAAACAGAGACCAAGUGAUUGCUGUACAGUGUGGUUGGGGUGGACGGCAUGGUAAUCGCUCAUGUACUAAUAACCAAUACAAACUGGUCCCACACUUAAGAGGACCCAGUUUGUGAUCCUCAGUCCGCCUCUGGGGCAUUCUGCCUCUGGACGCAUUACGUGAAUAAUCGCAUUGUAAAAAAUCACCCUCGCUCGUCUUUUUUUUGUCGGCCCGGUCCGCCCGCCAUUCUAUUCCUAUCUCCGCGGGACAAGGAACCAAUUUGGGCUGCGUCAGGCCUUGAGACAGUCAGGCAGGCGGGCAGGCGGGAGCUGAACAGAGCGGAACAGCCAGCCAUACAUAUGGAUCAGGUCGACAGGCGGAGCAUUAAUGGCCUCCCUCUGGAAUCUAAAACACCGGCACAGGCCGUAGAGGAGCUCCUCGGGGAAAUCAGAAUACCAGCAGCCAUUCAGGUCAGCUUGUACGUGUUCGCUGUAUGUUACAACUCCAUUUUCCUCCCCCAACCCCUGGCGGAUGGAGACAGGGAGCCUUCUCUGGAGAGUGGAGAGCAUUGUUGAAGGCUUUGUGGAAUACAAUUGGCUUUCUAUUAAGAGUGAUGCGUGCAAAGGUGAAAUAUGGUUUGGAAGAAAGGAUUGAUUAUGUGUGAAGACGAAUUGCUCCUCUUGCGUUCAGAGUGGUGCUUUUGCAUUAUUUUUGUGGUUGUAGAGUAUAUCUGAUUUUUUGGAAGGAAGGAGGCAAACAGUGUGCACUUCGGGACUUUAUUACUUAUUUGUUUUCUGUUACUCUCUUCCUGCUCGCAGGGCCUGUUUCAGUCAAAGAAAUGUGGGAACUACAUCGUAACACCACCUUAUUACAUAACUUCAGAAAAGCUAGACGGAUGAUACUCAAUAUCACAAAAAAAAUAAGAAAGUAGUGUUUUCCACUAAGAUCGAUGGAUAUUGGUUUCACUCGGUCGUUCUGGCUAAAGUCUCAACUUAACUUUUCCAUGAAGCUAGCUCUGCUGUCGAGAUAAAUUGAAUCCAUUUCGUACCCCAUCAAAACAACCGGGUGUUUUGUGCAGAACAAAAGGCUUUAUCCGCUGUGUUUAAAGAAUGCCGAUAAUGUGAUCGUCAUAAGCAUGACUUGUGACCUGCCCAAAGUGCCAUUCCCUCCCACACACCCAUCGUAUCAAUCCUGUCUAUGUUCUCACCACUCAAACACUGGUACGCUAUGGCUUGUUACAAGGCCACGAGAUACAGAAAUGCUGUGUUAUCCGUCAGAGAGAUGAUUGUGUGAGUGCUAUUGCAUUGUUUCAGUGAGAAGAGCCGGACCCCUUUGAAUGAAUGAGGAGAUGUUUUAUGCAACAGCUCACAAGCACAAUAAUCUUGUGUGGGAUCAAAAGACAAUUACAAAGAACACGAUGUUUGUGUCAAUGCUUCUAAAUAAAAAGUGUAGUACAAGACUUUCUUUCCAAAAGCUUCACAGAAUGGAGUCUGCUUCAUGUUUUUCCUGGAGUCAGCAUUUGCAGGAGGUCACACUCAUGACACUGUCUCUUCGAUUCAUCCGAUCAUCGUUGAUAUACUCCGGCCAGUCACUCCUUUCCUCGUCACUCUCUGUCCAGCCAUCUAUUCCCAUCAGCAUGUCUCUCGCACUGUCUUCAUUGCUGUCCACUGUGUGUGUGUGUGUGUGUGUGUGUGUGUGUGCCUGCUAUAAUUGAGGCAGCAAUAGCAAUGCCUUGACGCAGCAGCAGCAGCGGCGGCAGCCUGUGGAAACAAAGGCAGGGUGAUUUAUAGCCCCGUACUGAGAGCAUAAAUCACACCUGCAGCGCCGCGCCUUUAAACGCCCUGCGUCCUGACAGCAUUUACCUUUUAUAAAUGAUUGGGCUGAACCUCCCACGGAGCCUGAGACCACAAAGCUCACUCACUCCCCAUCUAACUCUUCCUUUGUUUUCACCUCUCUUUCUCCCUCCCGCCGUCUCAUUUCAAUUUUUCUCUCCCUAUCUGUCUCACACGUCACCCCGUCUCCUUCUCCCGCAUCUCUCUGCUUCUGCCUUGUGCGUCUCCUCCUCCUCCACCUCCUCCUCUCCAUCGUCCUCCCUCCCUAUCUGCCCCCACCAUGGCCUCCCUUUUCUCUGUUUGCAGGGCACGGUGGGACUCAUUCAGCCAGUGUCCACGUCUGUGGGGUAAACAGGUAAAGCCGCUUAAAUUGCAGCGGCGCAUGCCGCCGCGUUCUCGGCCCGUAAAGGAAAUGAAUGUGUCAGUCUGCGCUCUAUCUGCCUUCCUCACGAACACUUUAGUGUGUGGCAAAUACAUAAGGGGCGGUUGUGGGGGGGGGGGGGGGUGUUGCGGGAUAAAUUGCAUACACACACACACAAAUAACGCCACACCUGUGUAUCAUGAAGGGGACGGCGAGGCUGGGAAUACACAGCCCCAGCUGCAGGAGUGUGGCUACAGAUAAAGGUGACGUCUUGAGGCCAUUACUUAUCCGGCGCAGCGGCAAAGGUUUGCAGAUAUUAUACCUGCUGUCUCCACAUAAUAGCUCUGGGUUGGAAGCCACAAACACACACACACACAUUGGAUACACACACGGCAGGGUGCAUACACACGAGCAAACAAAACAAGCACAAACAACACGGUACACUGACAGGCCCACACAAAUUUAUACAUAUGCCCUCGCUGCUAUCACAAACACACACACACACACACAGGGGUGCGCAGACACACUCUAUGAGUUAAAACAGAUGAAAGAGCUGGUAAAUGAAGUCUGACUCGACAGUUUAAAAUGCAGCACUGCAGCUCUGCGAGCGUCGGUAGAACAAAACGACGAUACUUCUCAAAGCUGCCGCGGUAACAACCGGCAGGAGCAUCGAAAAAAGGGGAUUUGUUUUAAGAUCAUGGCUUCUAUUUCGGCACCAGAGAAGUAUUAGUUUUAAGCUCCCGCAUUGGUCAAAAGGUUUUCUGAAUCGAUGGAAAAAUCCAUCCAUUCUUUGAAGAAAUCGACUCCAUUAAAUGAUGUUUUAUCUAUCAGAUUUUAUGCAGAUUAUCGGCAAAUUGUCUUGUGAAACAAAGCGUAAUCACAGAUAUUAUUUUAACAAGGUUUCGCAUAUUUUUUCAAACACACAUCCUACAACUCUAAGUGAAAAUUAAAUCAACAACUAACUUUAACCUUGAGUGGAAACCAUCUCAUCUAGAUUCUGCUAAAAAAUGCAUGGUGGAUUCAUCCCAUCCAUGCAUUAGCGCUUCAUUUAGUCCCAAUUCCAUCUGUUAAAUCCUUACACACUUGAUCUUCUCCCUCUAGCGCGGGGUUCUCAUACAGUUCCAACUUUUCAUGGCAGCGAAUAAAAAAGAGAGACCCGGACAGACAAGAUGAAUCGAAACCCAGCCAGUCAUUUCAGCUCCAGUUUGAAUGUGACAGUUGUUCUUUGUAUUUGCGUUGGACGGUCUACAGUGGAAACGAGAGAUGCCCUGCAAAUGUGAGCCAUUCCGCUGCCAGGAUGCCGGUUGUUCUACUGUAACUGAACUGUGUGCGUAGGAAAUAAAUAGCGGCACCCUCGCAGCGAAUAAAGCUUCGCAGAUUCCUCAAGGUCUAAAGAGACUCUUUCUUUUUUUUUGUAACAGAGCGUCUUAGUGUAUGUGUGUUUAAAGAGACUGUAAAAUGCCAAUGCUUUAUGAAUUAAUGAGAACACAGUUAGGGCUUUAUGUUGUUGGCAGACAGAGCUGUUUUUUGACUGCUAUGUAUACUGUUAGGAAGUCAGCGGAAGACCGACAGCUAUGACUUUUUUUUUUUUUCCCCCUCGUGGAACAUAUGAACUAAAGUGACUCACUCGGCAAAUGAGACUAAUAAUUACAUUCGCUAACAAAUAGGAAAAAAAAAAAACUCAGACGUUCCGUUUCGUCUGAGAAGAAGCCAAACCCUACGCGGAGGCUAAGAGGGCUAAAGCUUGGCGGCUAACAUCAUGCCUUCUGUUGGUCUCGCAGAGAGGCCACGCGUGUAGCGGACAUGACCUCCGUGUUGAAGACUGCACCUCGACACGGAGCAGGGCUUCUACUCCCCUGAACGGAGUUAAGCCAAGGAAAACGAUAUUCCCACGUGUUACCAAGCUGGAUGCACACCCCACCUGCACUGUUUGCCGCCCUGGGUUAAUUGGUGUGAUUGUUGCCCCGGGCUAUGGCGGAUUCUGUGGGGCACUUCAAGCCUUGCAGUCGCUAGGGUAUAUAAAGCAUUCAGAUGGUAUUAAUUAACUAUUCAUAGGAGUCUAGCCUCUAGCCGAGGUAUGCGUUUACCUCAUCUUCACCACCCCCUGAAAUAUCUCCUUUUAUAGUUGCUAAAGGGUGCACCUCGCCUCCUUCAUGAGUAAAGGUCCAAGUAUUUCAGGUAUGCAGUCAAAUUAAUGUCAAUAUUGCCAAGUCUGCUAAAGAAAUGUGGACAAAUGAUUUUUUUUUGGCUACACAAAAAGACUUUAGCUUUGGAUCCGUCAGAAAUAAGCUUGACAAUUUGCGUUUGCCAGAGCCCAUAAAACCAUAAAAAUGGGCAGCGCAAAUUGUGACGGCUGAACGUAGCUAAAAAAGGCAUGAAAAUACAACGCUUUGAUGGCCAAAUCUGAUGAUGAGUAAAGGCACCAGCGAUCAUUUAAUGAGCGUUGGCCUUGAGAUAAAAAAUGUAAACUUUUAAAGCUGAGCUCUGUUUGACCUGCGCCGGCUUGCUGAUUAGCAGCAAAUACCUUCUCUAUCAAGGAGUGACUCUCCUUAAAUCACUUUUUUCUAAGGAGUUCCUGGAUUGUUAUCAGGCAGCAGACACACUUGCAACUACGGAGAGAUUGCCGGGCAAUUACUAAGGUGAAGCUGCCCCAACACAAACCUACCAUUAGCCGCCGGGGGAAUAUAAUGCCACAAGGCCAAACUACGUCAGGAUUUAAGAGCCAAUGAGCUUUUCGCCGUGCCAUGCAGUGCUGAUUUCUAGGGGUUGGUAACACAGAGCGUGCCCUUAAAUGUCAUGUCAUCUUAACCUCCGACUUGUUGCCGUGUUAGGCUGAGAUCUAAGAAGUAAGACUCUCCUCAACAUAGAAAACGGAUAUGAAGGAAAAGCUCAUCAGCAGGGGGGAGGAGGAGAAAGGAAGGAACGCAAAUGAUUGCCACCAAACCUUUCAAUAAGAAGGCCCCCAUGGUGGUUUACCCCACGAUAUCAACCCUCACACGCACAGCACCACUACCGCAAGAGCGCAAUAUUUGUAGGAUAACAUUGGCUGUUUACAAUAGGUUUGGACUCCUCCUCCCCCUCUCCCCCCUCUUCUUCCUCCCCAAACUGCACCUGCAGAAUUCUCCAAGUUGUAGCCCGUGCACAUUACGUGGCUCAACAUCACAGGUAAAGAAAUAUAUAAAUAAAUAUAAACACUGGCACUGGAACACAUCCCCCCUCCUCCCCCUUCCUCCCUCUCUCCCAUCCCUCCUCUCCCCUACACUGAGAAGUAAUGAGGGGCUACCUGUAAUUACAAGCAGCUGCUGUCUUCCCUGACGAACGCUAAUUGCCAAUAAUGAUUUCGGAGAGCUGUAAAAAUUUGCCGGCUGACGCUCUCUCUCUCUCUCUCUCUCUCUCUCUCUCUCUCUCUCUCAGAAGAGAGUAGAGGACAUACUACGGGAGAGAGGAGAGAGAGGAAGAGGGAGAGAGAGGACCUGGUGGGUUUAUGCUCUCCCGGCCUGUGUCACAGUCAGGAGUGCAGUUAGCUAAUUUCUGUUGCUGACAUAUCAGAACCCUCAGUCGGCUGUUUGCCAUCUCCCUCCCUCUCUGUCUUCCUCACCUGUUUGCCGUCUCCUUCACGGGCUGAUAACAGCUUUAUUAAGCUGUAAUGUGCAGGUGGAAGUUUAAAGGUCCCGUAUGAGCACGGCGAGGAACAGAGGGGUGUAGACGGGAAGGCUUGGUGUGAACGGGUGAGGUGCCUAAUAAGCCACACGCAUAAUUAAAAGACAACGAUGCCACUAAUUAAUGAAUGCUUGUGUUUGGCUGCGCGUCGUAAUGGAGACGGUGUCGACGUGUGAGAGUCUGUUAGAGAGAAAUUGAAUUAGCCCCAAAAUAAUAACGGAGAGGAAACGCGGCAGAGGUGGAAGUCUGAGGCAACCAUCGAGAGAGGCGGUGUUACUUUACUUUGCUCACAUUCUAAGUCCAUUCUGAGUAAACCAGAAGACAGAAUCGGGCAAAUUCAUGUGUCUCACUCAGACGCAGACUUUGCAACGUUGAUCGUCUCAUUUUUUUAGCCAUCGCUACCUUUCCUCAGUCCACUGACGCUGAAAAUAGGAGGCUCUCAUUUUGAAACAGAAAGGAGAAAACAGUGACGUCCUUUCCUUAUUAUCUAAUCUGCUAUUGAGCGUAUUCUUCUGACAAAGAUAGCGGUUUGAUGACAGGGGGAACAAACACGUCGAUAGGGCUGCUUCAUCGCAUGAAGUCCACACAUGAAAGACUUUGCCGGUCAGUUUUACAGCAGACAAACUCGCCCACCUCUGAGCCGUUAUCAAAGACAAUAUAAAGCAGACAAAAGAACGUGUGCCCACAAUUCAUGAAACACACGACUGUCUUACCAGAGUAAUGAUCACAGAACCAAUUUAAAUAGCAAAACUAUUAGAACUAUUAGUAGCCAUUAGACUAUGAUGACAAUUUAUGCAUUGUAGAUAUUGAUCAUGUGGAAAUAUUUUGACAAAUAUUUCAUUUUUUUAAUUAAAUGAUAAAAAAUGAUGUUAUUCUUAUCCAUUUUUAAUUACUGAUGAUUCUAAUAACUAAUAACUUUGUUAGGUUGGUAAAUGAUUAGUCAUACCAAUGUAAUGGCUUCACAUUUUAUCGAGAUUAUCAUUUUUUAAGCCUAAAUAAAUGAUCAAAAAAUAACACUAAUCAUUUGUUGCAGCAUUAACUACAUGGAAACUAACAUUUAUGCCAUGACACAAGUACAAAUAAUUCCAUUUUGAAAAGUACUCCAAGUUUUUUUUCUUAUGGAGUUUUCAGGUUUAAAAUAGAAAAGAUCGUAAUUCAGAAAGAUUUACCAUUAAAAAAAAGGAAAUAUAAAAGCUGGUUAAAACAGGUUAGUCUUGAUAAUAUUAUAUUGCAUCUCUUCACAUCUUAAUACUUGAAACUGAAAUAGAAAUUUUCAGAAAAGACCUCGUGUUUGAGAAAUCUGCUAAUUCCCUCAACCAACAAUGUACCAAACAAAUGAGGAAUAGUAAUAGACCGUAUACUGAUUCCCGCCACCAGGCUUCAUUUUACAGAACUUAACAGCUUUUUAUGCAGCAAUUAUUCUACAAUGAGAAACAAUUUGUAAUGUUGUGAAACUUAUUUUAUUUAUUCCAUAUUUGCAUUGGUUGGUUUAAUUGUUUCCUCUAUUGUACUUUUUUACCGGGAUUUAUUUCUUUUGCUUUGAUGGUCUUCACUUUGGCGUCUUCUGUUCUGUUAUUUCUGUGCUUUUUCUACUCUGUCAAAAAACUAUGCAAAUUCAGAUACUAUUUAAAAUAAAUAGUAUAUAGUUUUAUAAAUAGCUAUUGUGCAAACCACCAAUUGUUCGUCUCUGACGUGUUUUUCUUCACUCUUUGCUUUGAUGAGGAACUGUGCUUUUUAUGGACAUCCGUAGUUGUGUAAGAGAUCUUUGAACACCCUGAACUGUGGGAACCUCAUAAAAAUGUGCUUUAACACUAUCUUAUCUCAGCUACCUUGAAUAGCUUAAAUGUUUAUUGUUGAGCAUUCAUUGCUCUGUAAUGAUUAUACGACUUUGUGUUCCUUCUCUGUGGGAAUAUGGCAAGGACUCAAAUUGAUGCCAUGAUAGAAUACAAGGGAGAGAUUUUGAUGUCAGUUUCAAACAAAGAAAAGAAUAUUACUUUGAGUUUUGGGAUCCAAUAAAACAACACAAUAUCACACUGUGAUCGUCUCAUUUUGUCCUUAUGUUACGUUGCAUAAUGCCCAGCGGCUGAAUCCAACUUUUUACUUAAUCUUUCCUUAAUAGGUGGACGAUUUGAAAAAGCAGCUUCUAAUGAUUUCAUCGUUUGGAUCUUCCUUAUUUAUCCACUGAUCUCAUGACAGUUCCGAAUAAAUUCCAAACGUGUGUUAAAAGCCACGAUCAAGCCUAAGUUUUGGAAUUAGUGUGCUUCUGCCUGGCAUUAUAUACAUUUUCUGCAAAUUCCUUUCAUCUUAAACGAUACAGAGACUGUUUGACUCAAAAUCUGCAUGAAAAAAUAUGAUUUAACAAAUGAACUUAAAUGUGGUGAAACACCCAAAUCUAUUAAACCGGUGUAACCCGGUGCAAAACUCUUAGCACGCUGAGCCAGUUUAGGCAUUUUCUCCACAGCCAGCUACUUUGGAUUUGAAUAUGGUGUCUGAUAUUUGGUAUGUAAUAAGGGGCCUGCAGACUUUCCCUCUCAGUGAGCAGUAAGGACCCGUCUUCUUGAUAAUACCAUGCAUGGAUAACUGAGUGAGACGCCAUCAGAUACGGAAAGCAGCAGGCUUAAGGGAAAUGAAAUUUAUUUUGAGGCGAGAGAGUGAGGGAGGAUACGGCGAGGAUAAUUGAAACGGGGAGCGUUCAGUUGGGGAGAGAAAUUGAGAUGUUGUCACUGUCCUCCUUAUCGUCAUCAGGGCCACUGUGCGAAAGCAAUUAAAGAGUUAAAAAGUAAAUAUCUGGAGUUAUGUAGAAUCCGAGAGAGAAGAAUGCAAGCCAACAAGGUGCCCCUCUGCACAAUAACACACACACAAAAUAUACACACACAUCCCAAAGGUAUAGAGGAUUGUUUUCAUUUUUUCUGAUAUGUUUCAGUCUCCAAAUUUGAAAUUGUCAAUCAAAAAAGAGCUUAUUUCAGGCCCAUUAAGGUAAGGAAGAAACCAGCUUUUUAUCAUCAUUAUUCUCGUCCACUCAAUGGCUGUCUGAAACACAGGACUGUUUUCAAAUAUUCUUGUUAUUUUGCUGUUUUGCAUGAAAUCCUUGCGCGCACAACCCACAAUGUGAUUUCACUUUCACAGUUAAAAAUAACAAUUGGCUGAAUUGAAAUAUACCACAUUGUGUACAAUGAUGGCAUCAGCCGAUGCCAAGUUGCUCUCACUGUGAUACCAUAUGAGACACUUUAGGUGCAAUUCUUUUUUUUUCCUUUGUUUUGGAACAAAAUUAUGGUAUAGAAAAAUAAUCGUGCUAAAAAACAGAAAUCCCAUCCUUAUCAGAUUUGACUUUUCAUAAGUUGAUGUCUGUCCAGUUACAGCGAUGAGAGCCUGUCCGAAGGAGAGGUCAUUUCAUCCUUCACCUGCCUCGUAAAAAAAUGCAAAUGCCUCAACACGUAAAGAUAAUAGUCGGUGCUUUUUCACACAGUUAACAAAGCAGAGCAAUAACGAGGGCUUUACCAUCUCACAUAUUCCCAUGUCUGUUUUUCAUAGACGUUCUGGCAUACCGCAAUAAGCUAAAUCUUGUCAUUUCCUUUCUCUAAAUUGAAUUUCUGAGGGGAUUUGAAUGGGCCAACCCUGAAUGAUGCCAUGGGCGAGAAUACUCAAAUUACCAACAAUGUGGAGAAAAAUGGGUCUGAAAGCAGACGAGAGGCACCAGGGGGGUUUGAAGAUGUGGGUAGACUGAUGCACUUUCACAGACACUUCAUCAAAAGCCUCUUCCUCUCCCCCUCCGCGGAAGUCGGCCACUUCUUUCUCCCUUCGCACUUAGUUAAAAACAACCUGUCUGAUUAACCCGGGCUGUUCGGCCCGAUGAUUUUAAAACGUCAACUAAGAGCCUCAUCGGUGCGAGACAGAGACGAGAGAUAACGGCGCACUGCUGAGACAUUAAAAAGAAGAAAAAUUAAAAAGAGAGAUUGGGUAAAAAAAAAUGGAAACGGCAGGAUAACAAAGAGAAAACUGGAACGAGUAGCGUCAGACGGAGAGAGAACAAGAACAAGGGAGCGGGUGAGAGGGAAGAGCAGAGUGGCGGUGGCUCGGUGGGGGGGCCCAUAGUAAUGAACAGGUGGUGGGGGGAAGAGAAGGUUAAGCCUGUUUCUGUGGGUGUCGCUGGAACCCACCCCGUGCUGUGUGGACAGAUGUGUGGACGGGCCGCUAUCUAGCUACCCCCCCCCCCCCCCCCCCCGCCUCCCUCCCCGCCUGGCCGGUGAUGCCAAAGCCCACUAGCCUGUGCUCAAAAAAACUCACUCGUUUAUCUGCCUUUGUUCUUUGUUAUUUUUGGACUCCAACGCGACGAAACGAAAAAAAAAAGAAGAAAAAAAAAUUGCCUCUCUCCGAGGAGAAUCACGUUCCCGUCUCCUCGUCUCGUUAGCUUCUGUCCGCGCACGGCACACAAUAAUGUGACAUUCGGGAACGCUGUGAUGUUUGGUUUUGUUGUUUUAAUGCGUCUUUGGAUCUCGUCUGCCUGUGGCAUAUAGAAAGAAAGCUUAGGAGUGUUAGCUGCUUCUGUUUGAAAAGCCAGGUGGCUCAGGGAGCCCCAGUUAGGUACUAUUCUAAUGAACACAUGUGCUCACACACUGUUGUUGCUUCAGGCCUGUUGACAACCAGCGAGGAAACAGGAUGUUGUCACUCAAACCUUCCAACGGGUGCGGCUGUGUUAAUGUUGCUCACCAGCGAGUCGUUUGACUGAGGGCUGUAUGUGACAGGUGUUUCCUUGUUUGUCUAUCGCACUGGUUUUACACCGUCAGCUCAAAGGCAAUGAUUUAUAAUUCAUCAACGAGGGACCCAGUGGCGAGAGUGGGAGUUCAAACUCUCGAGACGAUCUAAGUAACCAAACCGUCAUUUCAGUCCGAAGGCAGUCUGUGUUUCGGAAAGUACGAUAAAUUACAGAAAGGAUGUGUGUGUGUGUGUGUGUGUGUGUUUGUGUGUUUGUGUGGGCCUUUCUAUGUAGAAAUCACCUGUGUUGGCACAGCAGAGUCUGUAUUUUGUCAGUGCAUAGAGAUCUCGUCUGCACCUGUUGUCAGACACACACACACACACACACUCUCACACACACACACGCACACUCACACCAGAUGAAAAUCAGUUGACAGCAUGGCCAGCUUCAUCAGAUGUGCCCACUCCUGUUCCGUUCAUUAACGUCCAACCGAAGGCGGCUGGCCCGGGGCCUACUGCAAGUCCCACUCGGCUAAACAGCACCCCCUCAAAGCAAACGCACACAGAGAGAGAGACAUGCCAGUAGAGAGGAAUACAUCCAAACAAAGAAAGGCACAAAACGUUAAAAAAAACAACAACUUUAUUGUUUAUUAGAAUAUGUGAAUGAUGAAACGAGAGCGGGGUAGCGAGCCGCAUGCUGUUAGCCGCAACUAGCGCUCGCCGAAGAUUGGCGAGCGCAGCCACAGCCUCGGUUUUUUUGGGGGUCAGCUGGAAAUUUUGGAUUGGCAUUGCCUGUGUGACGCCCACGCGCUCUGCCCGUUCUCCCUGGGAUGCCAGCGCCACCUGCUUACAUUGUGGAUGGCAGCUUUGGUGCCCAGCAGGAGGGCUGGAUGGACGGACUCACAGACAACAUGUUUCAGCUAGUUUGUUUGGAAACCUGCGGCCGCCCAGCCAGAGAGAGGAAAACUUUGGGAGAGAGGGGUGAGAGGAACAGCAACACAGAGAUGGAUUUUCGAGGGAGUUUGCCACGUCUUCGCUCGGCCCUCGCUGUCCGACUGGUAGAACGGGAGACAAACGGAGACCCGGGAUGAACCGCAAGUCGGUCCGGCUGACAGAAAUCCGAGCGUUCAGGUUUCCCCCUUUUGCUUAUUUUAUCAUGCAUGCAGGGGGUGACGGUAGCGUUUCGCCAUUGUGGCGGGCAGGUUUAUCAUAUGUGUAUUCACAUACACACACACACAGCAAACAUCCAUCUCAAACAAACAUUAUCGCGUCAUGCAAAACCACCUUGCACACCAACAACAGCUCAAAAAGUAAUAGGUGGUUUCCCGAAAAAGCCUCACGGACUCUUUCUCCACAAUGAGCACCCGGAGUCGGCGCCCUGCAGCGUGACUCGUAACGAGUGAUUCAUCCCGGGGAGAAAUACACAUGAAAUUAUCACCGGCAUGUUGUCGAACUAGCUCUACUCUCGCUGUGAACACAAUGUGAGCCCUGUUUAAAAAAAAAGAGUUAUUGGAAAGCCAUUUGAGGGCAGCGGUGUGUGUGUGUGUGUGUGUGUGUGUGUGUGUGUGUGUGUGUUUUCACAGGUUGGGGUGAAGAUGCUGUGGGCAAGAGUAAGCGAGAGAAGAGGGCGAAGGGACCGGAGGGGAAAGCACCGGCGGAGGAGAGGAGAGCGCCGGGGCCGGAGGAGAUGAAAGAGCGAGGUGUUGAUAACUUCCUUUCAUAGCCCUUCCAAAAAGGCACGAGCAUCCCGGAAGACGCACACAACCACGCAGUCGUUAUAUCUAGACGUAGGCAUCCGGCGUCAGAGGAGUUUCUGAGAAGGCACUCUGAGGUACAUCUGCCUCUUUUUUUACUUUUUUCUUUUCUUUUUUUUUUUUAACUCCACUUCAGUCUUCUCUUAGAACAGGACGAGGUGUUUCAUUUGUUCUCGAAACAACUCCUAGACAGGAAGCCGGGGCAGGAGAUGAAGAUUAACCAGUUUCCUCCUUCUAAAUAGAAAGCCGCUUUCUGAGAUGUCUCGGGGUUCGAGCGCUCCUACGCAAUGUCACAGCGGCGCUCUGCAAUAUAUUUUAAGACUGAAGAAGGAUUUUGUUGAUGAACUGGCAGGCGAGGCCAACAAAUAGAAUGCUUUUCAAUCAGAGUGCGUGACCUUUUGGGUCACGUACUUCAUUUAGCUCUCCUCCAGUGUAGCGUCCGUACCGGUGAUGCAAACAUGGGAACAUUUUUAAUUAAUGCCUGAAAAGAAGAGAGAAGAGAAUUGAAGAGGUGCUACAGAAUGUCAUUCGCGGUACAAACGCACCCUUGAUAUUCAUGCACAGCCACGACAAGCCUAAUCAAUCAUUAAUAUUCAACUGGUCGUACCAUCUAUUUGCAUGUACACGCACACAUAGACACAGACCAGAAAGUUCAAAAAUCUGUUGUGGAGGCCUUAAUUUUAAUUUUGAAUAUUUUUACUCUCCUUCUCUCCACUUUUCGCUCCCUUUACUGCUGUAUUGACCCCAGUAUGAUUCAGUGCAGUAAAGCCAAAGGCUGGUCUACGGGUUCACAGUGUAGACAAAGAAUAAUAGUUGAAGAAAACACAGUUGUAGUAGAUUUAAGACCAACGUACUGUCAUUUGAACAGUUCACAACAGAAUUAAAUGAUGUUGCUUUCGGUGCAAUAAAUGAAAUGCUAACCAGAGUACAAGUUAUAGUCAUAUAAACAUGAGUAGGAUAAAAUUGCACACCAGUAUGGUGCAUAUAUAUGGUGUAUAGUUGGUAUAGUUGGUUUGAUUUCGUAAGGUACACAUUACUAGGUAGUAUAGUAUAUUAGAAAGGAAGAAAACAAAUCAUUGUAAACAAAUAAAUGGAAUUAGGAAUGAGGAUGUGGAUGUAGAUAUAAAUAUAUACAUAAAUAUUUUAAAUAUUUCUAGAUAGAUGUUGUCUGUUAUUGUAAUUAAUGCUUUACAAUCAUGUGUUUUCUUCCAUUCUAAUAUACUACAAUAUGUAGGUUGAUGAGUGAAUGUGACGGCGGUGAUGGUCGUCCUCUCUCUCACUCAUAUACCGUGUUAACUCGCUGACACAUAUUUCAGUCAGUCACGAAUCCGAGCUGCUGUCAACACUCUCUGGGUGCACUUUUGACUUUCCGAUCUUCCCCCUCUGUGCCCAAGGCACAAAGUCGAAUCAUGAGCAAUAAAAAAAUGGGAGGAAUAAAAAUAAAUGAAUUGAUGUCGAGAGUGAGCGAGCGAGAGAGCGAGAGAGCGACAGCGGUCCCAUCACACAACCUUGCGGGAAGUCUUCCUCCAGUCAAUCAUAACCGUCGGCCUACUCAGCUUCCUGCGCAGCUAAUCUCAUCUGCUGCCUCUGCUCCCUCGCUGGUGCGACCAUAAAGGGGUACGUGGGGAUAAUGUGCAUUAUUACUUUUAUCCAAUGUAAGUGAGGCGGGCCAAUAAUUGCGCCAUGUUGGACUUUUAUUGUUCCCAGCUGCUGUGAUCAUUACUAAAACGUCACAGAGAUGCAACAUUUCCUGUCAACUUAACGACAGUAAUCACUUCCCUCUCCCCGUGCGCUCCCCUCACUCCACUGAAUACUGCGCCAUCCAGCCCGGCCCCUGCGAGGUGCCGAGAUGAGGCUUCUUCAUCAUCUUUAUUGGAUUCCUCCUCACAAACCAAAUCAUGGUAAACACGCACUGCAUCAUUUUUCCAUAUUUUCUCAUACCAACUGACUGCCUGACUGCAGCUGCUGGAAAUAUUAGCUAAUAAUAAACUUCUGCGUCCGUUAUUAGAGACGUUGCUGAGUGUGUUAUUGAACCCGCUGCACUCCGCCGCUUACUUUCAACGCCCCCCCCAAAAAAAAUCUGUCACAAUCGAUGUAAGGGAGCUUUGUAACGAGUUGCCUCUCUCUCUCCUUCUAUCUCCCUCUAUCUCUCCCUCUCUCUCUCUCCUCCCUGUACGUCUGCAUGGCAGGUGAAUGCCCUGCAGACAGCACACCAACAGGCUGACUUUACCCUCCAAAGGUGUUUCUUGGUUGGCGAAAGCUUCACAUGUAUCACAGUUGAAGUGAGAGAAAAAAGAUCUGAGAGAGGCGGUGAGGUAUGUGGCACAAAAGGUUGCACAAUGAACGCUUCCUGGAAAUUGGCGAGCCUUUUUCCCGAUGGGGAAUGACUUCAUCUUCGGUGAGCUGCUAAGACAGUUUUCCUGUGGGUUGAACAGGCUUUUCUUGUCCGUCUGGUGCGAUAAAAAAUGUUGUAGGCUUUUUGUUCAGCAUCGGUAGCAGCAAUGUUGUAGGCUGUUGGAUUAAAUUGUUGCCAUUUCAAAGCCUUUUAUAAAGCAAACAUAUUCCAAAUUAUCUUUUAGUAUAAAUAGUGCAAGGUCUUUUUCACUGUGCGCUACUGCACCCGACGUAUUGCUCAAAAUGUUCGACUCCCACCUAAACCUUUGUAGCUGCUGCCAAUAUGGCGCCUUCUCCUUUGUAUCUGUGCUGCUGCAGGUAUCUCAUCAGCGCAUCGUACAUACUGAAAACAACGGCGGGCUGCACAGAUGUCAUCUAGGAAGGUGAACACUUAUCACAUGUAAACAUCCUUACUCUUUCAUCCAGACAAAUACACACUCACACACACACACACAAGCAUUCCCGCCUCGCCGUCGGCUCGGUGUGUGUGUGUGUUCAUUCUAAACUUCGCCUGGCUUUUGAUCUGAGCCACGGAUGGUUCUCCUGCCUGCCGCCCUGCUUCCAAACACCCACAUAUGGGGUGUAAAGAGAAUUAUUCAUUGUUUUCACCACACAACAAACGUGUUUGAACUCAAAGAGCGGCUGCCUUCACAUAGUUAAUUUAACAUUGCCGGGGCGGAAAGCCACACCGACGAUCUCCUGUUCAUUGCCCUUUCACGAUGGUGGCGCGCUCAUUAAAAAUUGAUGGUGGGGAAAUUAGCUGAAAAGCAUGUGAAUCAAGAUCAAAACGCAGCGUGCCAUGUGGCCGUAAACGGAAGAAACCAAACAGUCCACACGGCCGCCAAGUAAAUUGAGUACGGAGACAGAAAACAAAUCAGUUUGCAUUCAAAAGAAUUCAAAACAGUUACUCACUAAGUUGUGUAUUUUAAUGUCUCAAAUAUAUUACAUUUGUAGGGAAACUUUGUCAUAACAUUGGCUAAACAUGUAAAGUUGUAAAAAGUGUCUUUGUAAACUGUAAAUGGUUUUAGCUGAUUAGUUCUCUCUAGGAAAUCCAUCUGGAUACCAAUGGUUGCUGGAAAAACAACCUAAUGUCCUUGGUCCAUCUUAAAAAACCCUAUAAAUAAGUAGCCACUGGCUGCAUUUAAUUUCUCUGCGAUUUCAACUUAAUCAGCACAUGACUACAUAAUGGAAAUUUAAAAUUCCUUUCAUUUUUUUCUUAAUAUUACGGGACCGAUAAAAUAGUACAUUUCCAGAAACAACGUUCUCCAUUUCUGCACCGAAGUGGAAGGGACAUGGUGCUAAUUGAGACAGGACAGACCAGAGCUGCUGCUUUACUCAUCACAGCAGUUCACUGCUGAGAGGAGAGGCAGCUGAAAGGCUGUGCCAGAUCUCCUAAUGCACCACUGAUUGCAACUACUUGGCCUGAUUUUGGCCUGGACUGGCCCUCCACCAUUGUGUCCCAGCUCACCGCCCAGUGCCCGGUGGCGGCUGCCACCAGCCCAUUACUCGCUGCCCGGUGCCCAGGGGUGGGUCGACCCAGAGUCCCGCAGGCUUUCACCCAGCACAGAAGAAAGCUUUGUGCCAACGGUUAAAGAUGUGCAGCGGUGUGCACCAUCAGCUGCAAGAAGCGAUCACCAACUUUCAAUAACAGUGACACACAAAUUGCAGGGACCAUGUAGUUGUGGUUUCCCUACAAAGAGGGGUGAACUAACCUGAAGGGUAAAACCACAGAUGGGAGAUUUCUCAUGCGACACAAGGAGGCGUUACAAUUUCAUUUCAAAGGUUUUAACAAGUUUGCCGUAAUUUUGUCACACUGUCAAAAUAACAAUACUUUUCAAUAGAUAAUUGCGUAUACUGUCAGCCGGAACAGCAACCCAGCCGUGACUUCAGCCCAUCACAGAGAGCCGGUCGGUUCCUCAAGCUGUCAGAAAGUUUGCUGGUACGCGAUCCCAGCGAGGCGGCAUCUCGUAACUUCACGUCUUAUUCUGUUCCUGUGCCAAACUCCUUCCCGAGCCAAACUAGGAAAUGAGACUCUCUCUGAACCUGGUGGACUGAACAGAAUGUGAGAAUUGACAGGUAUACCAGCGUCUGCCAAACUGCGCGGUUUUCUGCCUCUGCCAUCCCAUCGCACACCCAGGAUCGAUCUCCGCGACUCGCCGAGCUCAUAUCCGCGUGCCGUUCCCUAUCAGCCGGGAGAGUUAAUGAACAGGUUAAUUAUCCCAGCAACUCUGUUUGGAGGAAACACCAUCUGAGCCAAGAGUGGUUUGUUAGGCCGGCAUUGUUGUUGUCAUGCGUGAUUUUCUCAACUUACCACUCCUCUCAGCUUGUAAUAAAUCAGUCAAUAAAGAAAUGCCAAAAGAAAGCAAGUAUCAUUUGCGAGGCUGGUGACUUGAUGGCCUGGACAAAUGAAGGCAGAUGUUGUAAAAUCACUCAGCUGCUCCUUGUAAGCCGACAGUAAACACCAACAAACCAGAAGCCAAACAUUGCCGGUGUAGAGAAUGUGAUUUGUCAUCUUCAUCAUAAAGAAGCCACCGCACUAAAAGACUCCUGAGAAAUUACCAUUUCAUGAUUCGCAAAUCAAUUUCCACACGCACUAUGAGGCCUCUGUUGUCUUCAUCCAUCUCCAUCCUACGCUACAUGUCACACAAGCAUCAGUCGUCUCUCUGUAAGUUCGCCGGGAGACGACGCAGACACUUCUUAAAUGCCUAUGUGCUGUUUUCAAGUUGCCCUGUAUGCAGUUUAUCUCCUUUUUGGUCCCCUCUUUCGCUCUGUCUCUCCUUUGCCCCCUUUGACCUGCUCAGCUCCACCGCUCCUCCAGCGCCGGGCCUGAUCACAGCUCAGUGCCUCACAAAGCAUUAGCCUGUAGAUGAAAGAAGGAUGGGGGGGUCUACAGUAGGAUUAGGAAACUUUUGUACAUGCCCCAGCGAUUGAGGAAUGCUCUCCUGCCCCACUCAAGAACAGGCUCAGACCAUCCAGACCAGUAUGUAUGGAGCAAAAGAAACGGCCCUCUCAGAUCUUGGACAGCGGUGAGAGGGUCUUACUGUAAGCCUCAUGUGAAAAUGUUCACGUGCAUGUACUGCUGCAGAGAGAGCGGCCAUUGAAGAAGAAAGACACGCAGAAAAGAAAUGCAUAUGAAAGAAGAUUCAGAAGUACAUUCAUGUUUCGGUUUCCCAUUUUGGUUAGAGGCGACACUCCAUGCGUCGCAAGACAAAAUCAUUGUUCGACUGCCUUUCAUUCAUUGCAAAGGACUUUGAGGAUAGUUUGUCCACAUAGACUUGAAGAGCGGCUUAUUUUCUAGUUAGGGGUGUCCUUAGCUUACCUUUAAACCCAAGAUCAAUAAGAAUGGGCGUAGCUCUGUGCACGACAAAGCCUAAAGCAGCCAAAAGCUCAUUAAGAUGCAGACAUAGGAGUAUGCUAAUUUUACCCUACAUCCUAGAGAAGUAAAAAGACAACAAAAAGAGUCUUCAUUAAAAAGACCAUGCAUUAUUCAGAGAGUAGUAGGCCAGAGGAAUGGCUUAAGGCCAAUUAUCCACUGCUGGAAUCUUCCCCUGGUCGUUCUACUCUGAGCUAAAUGUCUUGCUCUUCUGUUGAUAAACGUAUAUACCCAUAAACAAACACACACAAACAGAGAUAUGUUUAUAUACAGGCAUAGAUCAUAUAUUAAAGUAGAUCAUUUAAAGUGGUGAUUAAGCAGGAUAGCCUGAUGGCCUGAUGAGUGACCUAUUUCUAGUAAACUGUCAGUCUACUCAGGCCAUGCACACACACACACACACACACACACACACACACACAGUGAGAGAGAGAUACUUAAAUGAAGGAAGUGAAGAGUGUAGAACAAUAAUAUGGCCACUUUCUUUGCUCUAAACGUUCUGCUAUAAUAUUUGUGAUCAUUCUCUUCACACUUUGUUAAAGAAGAAGACGCCGUGGUGUUUGUAGUAAAUGUAUGUUGCUACAUUGAUGUUCAUGUAUGCUUAGUUAAUGUUCAUAAGAAGCAGUAAAUGUUAGGACUCAGGGGGACGCAGGUGGGGUGAACAACUUGGGGCAGAACGGGCUUACCCGGAAUAAAGAGUCACAAUUUAAGGUGUUUAUUAAAAAACAUGACAAGCCCCAGCGAUGUAAAAAAAACCUUGUUUGUAGAGGGGAGCUGGACAAGACAGCAAGAUAAAGACAUACUGUCAGUAUCUUUGCAGCAAGUGUGAAUAUCAAUGAAUGAUUUUUCAAAACAUUCCCUUUGACUAUCCUGAUGAGUCUCUUUUAACUGAUUUUGGAGUGUUAUAUAGGGUUAUGUCUUUCAACCCCUUGCACCAUGAUUCAUGAUCAUUGUCUUCUCUGCACUAUGUUGUCCCUCAACAUCUGUCAGGGUUGGAACUGGUUUUACUGCCAUUCUUUCAAAAGAAAAAAACAGUUUUCUCUCUCCUGUCAUGGGACUCCUUUCAUCAGAAGGGUGUUAAAAUGCCCGUCACACUUAGCAAAGAUCAGAGGUCAAUAUUCUAAAACACCGAUGUCACAGGGUGUGUAUAAUCACUGUUUACGUGUUCAAGAGGACCAGAGGGAAUACAGAAAGUACUUAGCCGCUUUCUGGAAGUAUGAGAACAGGAAUGUGGAAUGAAAUCCCCUUAUUCCAAUUCAAGUUUUCUGUGACAGCUGGUAGGAAUACAUUUAAAGAAAUAAUUAUCAGCAAACUAUGGGAUGUGUUUUGGGGCCGGUUCUGAUGAACAGGAAGUGGAAGAAAAACAGGAAGGAAGAAAGUCUGUGGCUACUGGACAUCAUGGCCAGAUCAAAUCACACAGCCGCUGGGACACAAUUUAUUAACACUGGAACAUAGGGAAGUCUGUGUGUGUGUGUGUGUGUGCGCGCGUUUGUGUGUGUAGGUGUGUGUGUGUGUGUGUGUGUGUGCGUGCGUGUGUGGACAGAGAGAGAGGAAGUCAUGUGGCAACAGCCUGCCCUUCUGUCAGUCAUCCUGUCACAAGACUUGCACAGUGUGUCCCUUUGUGGCUUUGUGGCUUUGUGUGUGUGCGUGCAGUGUGGGAGUUUCUAUGAAUCUGGUGCACUAUGAAGGUAAUUCAACAUGCAUCAAUCUGAAGCUGUUUUCCAACCGUCUCCUUCACUUUAAGGAGAUUCUUACAGUGUUUCCAGUCGCAUUUAAUUGUCCCAGCAAGACCGUGUGUUUCUGAGAGUAUGCGUGUGUCUGUGUGGCUGUGUGUGUGUCAAGCCUGGGCCUGCUCCUGGUUCUGCUCAGUAAUGAAAGAAGACAGCAUCAGCAACAGAACCCCAGACCUGUCUGCUGAGUUGGAGAUAUAUGUGGUGACCGGGCAUCUGAACCCUGUUUGACACACACACACACACACACACACAUGCUUGCAUAUGCUUGCACAGACACAAACAAACAUCCCAGGGACCGCUAGGGAAGGGCAGAUGAGGACGUCCAUCUCCCAGAGGUUACCCUACCUACGACCAGCACAAACAAACACACCUCUUCUUUCCAACUCUUUCUUUCUCCCCCUCUGUGUUUCCAUCCACCACUUAUUAUGCACAGACAAAGAACACAACAAUUAGUCUACUAGUCUUUUUGUUGGUGGAAGUGUGUAUGAAGACAUAGUAAAAAAGACAAAAAAAAAACAAUGUGCAUAUUAUUCAAAAUAUCUUAACCCAUGUUACAGGCUCCCUCACAAAAUGAGACACACACACACACACACAAACGACCAGCAACGUCUUCCUAAUUGACGGGACAGGAGUGUCCAGAGUGUGAGCUUCUGCCAGAUUCGUGUAGACCUCAGCAGCAUGGAAACAUCAGCACUUUUGUUGCCACCACCGCCCUCAUAAGACUCAAUUCGCACAAGACGCCUGUACACCUGGCAGCACGGCUCGUGUUAACAAACGCACAUCUUCUAGGUGCAGGAUUAGGAAAUGACUGAGAUCAUAAAUGUGUAAAUGCAUGCAUUGAAAUAGUCUGUCUGAACACAUAAUGAUGCAAAGUAAAAUGCCAAAUAAAGGCCAGGUUAGCUAAGAUGGGCCCCACCCUCCAGGCUGCUGUGACAUCAAUUAGUGCCAUGAGAAGAUCGUUUCCUGGAAUCACAGAUGAAAUUUAGAGGGAUAGAGAAUUACUGUCCUUAUCCUCCCUUCCAGGCAAUUUGCAGCCCAAAUCUGGACUGACGAUUAAGUGGGAUUAUGUGCUCUAUAGCAAAGUUUUUGCGACAAUCGUGUCCUGUUCCCAAACCUUUUGAGAGGGUGUGAGUGUGCGCGCGUGUGUGUGUGUGUGUGUGUGUGUGUGUGUGUGUGUGUGUGUGUGUGUGUGUGUGUGUGUGUGUGUGUGUGUGCGUUCGAUAGAGAGAGACGUUGGGAGAGCGACACCGAUAGGUGGAAAGAGCAGAGGAGAGCGAGCUUUUGUUCCAACUGAGCCCCUAAUUAUCCAGGCUAAUUGAGCUGUUAAUUGAUCUGUUGUCUUAAUUAAACAUCUCCUGACGCUUCUUUGCUCCUUGUGGUUAGGAAUCUGAGGGAUGUGCAUGCACGUUUGGUGUGUGUGUGUGUGUGGUCAUGGAACACAGAGGUAGCUAUCCCAAAAACAGAUGACGAUAAUCUGAGUGGGCUGAUGACUCCAUUAGACACUUUGGCUUGUUCAGUUCGGGGCUAAAGCCGUCAUUAUGGAUUUGUUUGAGGUUGUUCUGGCAGUGAAAAGCUUUUAAAGUAUAAUCUGAUUACAUUAAUCUAUGCAAGAUGUACUUUGAUAAAGCUGCCAAUUUCAACAAAAUCUGUUGACUGACAGAGACUUUUAAUCACUUAUUCAGCCGGAUCCAAUCCUGCAGCCGGGGAAACAGACCCGUCGGUGCCUUUGUAAGGUGUUGGCUCUGAAUUUUAACUCACCUUUAUCGUUUCCAUCUGGGAGCAGGUAAGACGGAGCAGAAAAAUAAUCCCCCUACAUUCAAAUCAUGCAGCGACAGAAUUAAAUCGUCACACCAUCUUGAUAGAGAAACCACGCCGAGGAAGCGCAGAGAAAAAGAUGCGUUCAGUGAACCACUGUCAGUUUCAUUUAAUGUCUUUCAAGCUCUAAUUGCUCCAGAAAUCAACGAAGGUUUAUGCAAAGCUGCAAUAAAGAAAGAAGCUACAGUUGCAGAGUGGAUAGUCAACUCUCGUCACCAUCUACUUGAGAUAGAAACACUGUCUGAUCAAUUUAUAUCGAUCCAUCUGGAGGGAGACAAAAGCUAACUUCAAUUGAUGAUAACUAUGAUCUUCAUAAUUUUUGUAAAAGGACCCCAUACAUAAUGACAGCUACUAAAGCUCAGAGUUGUUUAAAAGUAAUACCUCUUUGAUAUCUCAAGUUGUUAGCAGCUGUGCAAAUAUUUUUUUCCAAAUAAUCGCUGGUGCAUUGAGCAAAAUCCCCCCACGCAGCCCACCAACCACCUUUUUUGUCUUGUUUUCCUAACUGGAUUCUUCACGUUUUAACUCUCUGUUGCCAUUAGUUGUGAUCCCACUUCACUUUAUUGCCCUCGUCCCUUCUCCCUCUCUUCUACUCAAUGUUUUCGUCCCCCUCUGAGGUCAACGGAGAGUCAGGUGAUCGUUUCCUCACCUGGAACAUCUUGUGUGCUGCAUGUGUAUUUGUCUAUGUGUUGCCACAUGUCUGUCCGUUUGUUUGUACCCUGAGGGAAGAUGCAAAGCGGAGAUGCUAACUUUAUCGUCUGCAUGGAGGGGUGGCGGCGGAUGGCGCCUCGGGCGCUCUGUGACGCCGGUGUUUCCGAGCCGACCCGGGGAGCGCAGGAAAGGCAGGCCGCGUCGCCGUGCGACCAGAGGGUGUCAACCAGGAUGUGAUGAAGUCAGACCAAUGGCAUGAGGAAAAGGAGGAGAGGUGGAGGGCAUCGAACAAAUUCCCACAUAGGCUCAUGGAAUGAUUAAUUGAGUGUGGUAAUGGUUAACCAGAACGCAGUGAUUUUGUUUUCUUGGUAAUGUCGCACAGAUUAACUGAGGCCAUGUGACUGAGCUGACCCUUGAGCUCAGUGGGAGGAGUAAGAACUCGGUCACGCUAGUUUGGGUUAAGUUGAGAAACUCUUUUGAAAAGCUUUUAAUGCAGAACGUCUCAAAGAAAGCGGUGAAAGUAAACUAAAGAAACGAUGACAGUGUAGGAAACAACUAUAUAGUCACGCCACGAAUAUUUGAAUAGCCCAGGAGCUCAGUAAUUUACCUGUGACCUGUGAUGUGCCUUUACCUUUCCUGGGAUUUCAAUAACCAAACUAGCUAAGCAUACGUGUCCCAUCAGUCCAUAGUAGACUGUUAAAGAGGUUACCAUGGCAGCACAGGGUGGUCAGACACCGACACUUCUGUGACAGCUGUUUCCAGACAUUUUGUUAGUAUAGACGAAUUAACCAUGUGCAAUGAAUAGAAAGACUAUUUAAGUGGACCACAAUUAAGUACAGUACAGUAACGUGUGUAUUAAAGUUAAAUGAUCCUUUUCAUUGAAGUCCCCUUGACGCGUAAACACACAUUUAUACCCACAUGUGAGGAAUAGAACUGGACACAAACCUCCCUCCUCCUCAGUGGUUGUUAGAAUAAGAAAAACAUGAUCAGAGGUUUUAGGACUUCAACUUCAACUCCUCGCUAACCUCUAACGUUGUGCUCAAGAGCUGGACUCCAUUACAGAAAGCAAAGGAAAAAGUUUGUUUGCGGCUCUGAUAGUCGAGUGCACAGAAGUUGUCCCAGCACUGCAACGCGACACGCACAGCAUCUCUGCUGACAGCGUUUCAAUCUUAAUUGGAUCUUUGUCGGGUCAUAGAAACGCACCAGAUCGAGCUGCUUGAUUCAGAAUUUCCCUUCGGUGUUGUGCCCCAAGUUAUCAGAGAGUUCUAGCCAACGGGAUUUACCAUCAGAGACAGAAGUCUGAUAUAUCAUAUUCCACAUCAACAGAGGAGAAGACUGCAAAGUGCAGCACGCUAGUGCAAUGUUGCACGUCUGCAUGCAGAACUGUAAACAGUAACGCUUACAGUGUGCUGUUUAUGAUAGAUAUGACCACAACUGACACUCGCGGCCUUCUGGUUUUCAUCUUGGGCGUCAAAGAUAGCAAAAUGUCAAAGUAUCAGUGCUAUUUCAUCAUGUCAGGCUUAAAGUUAAAGUCUUAGCAAAUAAUUCACUCGGCUACACUGUGUGAAAAAUAGCAACGGGCCAAAUGUUAAAGCUUGAUAUCAGCUGUCCUCUGGUGUUAGGGCAGGAAGGUUCAUGCUCAGGCAUUCUUCACACUUAAUGUAAACAGAUUAGCUGGGCGGAGGAUCCAAGUGUACUCCUCUGGAACACAUUAUGUAUGUCAAAAUAAAGUCCGCUAAAAGGUUUUCCAGGUUUUUCGCUCGUGUGCCACAGUGUGCUUUGUGAAGGCGGGAGUCGGAAAGAGAAAACGAAGAUUAGAUUAGAGGGAGGCAGGGCCGGCGUUAAAUGGAACGCUGAUUGAUCAAUGCAUUAAGGUGUGAGGUCGCUACAAGUUCAAGCUCGCUCUCUCGGACGUCUCUUGACGUCACAUCAAUUGGUACGGGUGAAACGGAUAAAGUUUUGGUUAAAAGUGUCUGUUUGUCUUGAAGGUGCGUAUUUGGGUGUUCUGUCUGCCGUUGUUUUUUGUCCUGUCAGUGCCGGUCCAUUAGUGAUGGAGCUGAUCCGUGCAGAACCACAUGGCUGGCUGUAACCGGUGAGUGGGUGGGAGGAGGCGGAGCAAACAGGAAGUCAUUAUUAAACUUCCUGCAGCUGCUUUACACCUACUGACCACAUGGACUGAUUGGAACAAAUUCAAUAAUGAACUCCGCAUUAACAGGUGUUCUUCUUCACAAGCACAAACACGAGCGCACACUGAUUUUCUCCGGGGAAGUAUUUCUCAGUUUGCAAAAAGAGGAAACAUCCCAAAUAACACUUUUUGUUAGCCCGGAUGAGACAUUGAACUGAGAAUGGGAAAGUCAAUUGCACUCCGCAACAGACAGACAGAAAGUCCGAAAUGAGUGUGCAUACGUGGGUGGAGCGUCUGUGCGUGCAUGUGUGCGGCUGUGUACGUGUGCAUGCGUCGACGGCAGUCUGCCUGCAUGCGUCUGCUCGCGAUUGAGUCAGGGUGCAUUUCUCUGUUUGAGGGAAACUUUGACAGCCUGGUGUCUUUGUUCUAAAGUUCAGACAGGGAAGCAGAUGGCUCUUCUCAGUGUGACUUAGCGAGCUAGCUAGCCGCAGAGUGCGACUUCACCGCCUCUGGUGGUGCCACUGCUACUGCUGUGUGGAAGGCAACACCCCAUCUUUUGUGCAUAUCACGAUGGAGAGCCGUGCAUUCAUACAGCACGUCAUCCUCGGAGACGCUUCUUGGCCUUUUACAUCGUUGACAAAAUAAUUUCCACCAACUAAAAGGCCUUAACAGCCUCACAUUUCCUCGUGCUUGUAGCUGUAACAGCACGGAGUCGUCUGCGAUAAAUUGCCGGUUCUGUUCUGAGCUACUGCUAAGCUGUGAAUCAACACGCUGUCACCCGCCUGCAAACAGAAUAAUAUUGUCAGCCUGUAAGACAAAAGAAGGUUACGAUGAUGUCAAUCAGCGGUGCGACGGAGGCGACAAGGGACAGCUCAGCCACACCUCUAUUUCCCACCGGGGUCACUGGAAACAGUAACUCUGCCACAGAACCUUAUUGGUAUGUUACAGACUUUAUUAAAUCAGAAACAUUUCCAGUGCCAGAUUUAUUGGGGCAGAUUUAUAAGCUUGUUCCCAACUCUCAACGCGUUGCGUUCGUCAACAUAAUAAGAAGCAAGUUGAACUAACCGCUUCCCCAAGACAUUUAUUCUGCUCUUAAAAGCUCUCUAUUUAAAACAAAGCUUGCUUGAGGUUGCUCUCUUUUAAUGCUUAAUGCUGUCGUAAGCCACACGAGUCUGAUCAGCUGAUUCACUCCUGCCUGCAGAGACAUUGUUUCCCAAAUAAAAGACACCCAGCAAUCCAGACCUCGGAUUGUGCUCCUUAUUUGUAAAACCUCAAACUUUAUCUCCGGUGGCAAUAUUAUCCCUCUUGUACUUGCUCUCUUUCCCCCCGCUUCACAAGACGUUUGGUCUUUAAUGUAUUUCAGAGAACAUCUGCUAACUAUCACUGAACCUCGUGGGAUUUCCAUUUAGCCCAGUUAAUUACUCUAUCAAGCCAGGUUCAUUAUCAUAUUCCUCCUCUUAAAAAAUGCAUCCGACGCCGUGCCCACAGUGUGUGUGUGUGUGUAGGUGUAGGUGUAAGGGUGAGUGUGUACCAAGACACGUGCACAUGCUGCUGUGCACGGCUCCGUCUUAAACACAUUCCUAAUUGCAAGUGGUGCAGCCAUAAUACUUGUGUUAAUGAACCAGAGCCGUCUAUAGGAGCUGUAGGAAGUCAAGUAGGGAAUCUGUUAGUUUGUCUCCCUGGGGAGGGGCAGUGAGGUGGUAUUAAUCUUGAUGAACAACAGCCCUAUGACUUGUGCUUGUCUCUAUCAUUCCCUGCAGAGGUUAGUCCGGGUGACUGAUGGCGCAGCCUCUCCGCCUCAAAGGAGUUGUGUGUGAAGCGCUUUAUUUAAAAAAAAUGAGACACCAACUGCUUGUAAAUGUGUGCACUUGCUCUUUAACAAAAAAUGUGUUGGCUUGAUGGUUUGAUUCAUUAAUUCUUCAGGUGAUUAGUUUACACAUGUGCCAACAGGGAGUCACAACGGCACGCAAGACACACCGCGGACAGACUGUGAGUCCACUGCAGCACUAAUUACCAAUAUGACCGUCGAAUAGUACCGAUGUUCCCAACAGAACUUGUUGUUCUACCGGGGAAAAAUAGUGCUUCUGAUAGUAAAAGACCAGCAGGCGUGUGUAGUUUAAAAAUGAGAACACAUUUUUCACCCAGAAGGUCAAAUUUCUCCUUCGGGGAUCAAUAGACGACGAACAAAAAAUAAUAAUACAUCAAGGAAGCGUUCCAAUGUGGAUAGCAAGUGCAUUAAGACAACACCCUUCAUAAUGACUUUACUCUUGCAUCAUUUAUAAAGGGCUUUCAAGUGAGUGACUAUGGUUUUGUUUUUAGAGGUCACAGGAUUUAAAGCAUCGCCAGCUGUUCUGCUAUGACAACCAUCAAAGGAAAAACAAUCACAGAUCCAUCUUCUAUAAUGUAUGAGCUGGAAAGCUUGGCAGGAUGAGUGAAGCCAUCGAAAAGUAAAAGGUUACUUGUUCAAAAACAAGCUUUGACCCAGAGACAAUUACUCACAAUGACAGUUGGCCUCAUUGUAAUGAGAAAAGAACCAAAAGUAAAGAAAAUAAACACUAAAAAUGAUUCGACAGCCUGUAAACUCAUCAUAAGCAAUAAGAAUUUCCAAUACAGUCAAUAAAGGCCAUUACAAUUAGAGACAGGAUAAUAUUUUGCCGUAUGAUCUUUUUUUCUGUUGCUAACUUGACUGGAAUAAUUACUGUUCAUGUAAGAUUUAACACAUCUGUAAAUGUUGUUUUGGGUGCUGUACGAACUCUAAAAGGCGAUUGAAAACAUAAAACUGCACACAUUUAUUUCUAAAUUGAUUGUUUGAUUAGUUUCAUCAUCACCAUCAUUCCUCUCUCUGAUAAAAGCUUUUUACAUUUAAUUUGGGAAUUCAGCACCACCACUGAUUUAGCUUUCCGUCAUAUAUAGAUUGGAUUCCCCAUAUACGGGUCUGUACGGCAGCGGCUGUGCGGAGCGGUGAAAUCUACCCUUUGAUGAGAUUAGCUGAGUGGUGUACUUGAAAUAACCUUUCAUGCGCUGCCAUUAUUGUAUUAAUCUAUUCUAAAACAAUUUGGUUGAAUUAAUUAGGCCCUACAUAUUUCAGCAAUGCUCGCAGGCUGCCUGAAAACAGAUGGCUCUGAGGGCGAGCCACUCUCUAACGGGUGUGUGUGGCUGAGGAGUACAACGGAGGGAAAAGGAACAGGAGUGACGAAGAAGAGGGAAGAAAGUGGCGGCACGAAAGAGAGACGGAAAGUAAGAAAGUCUUUUCAUACCCGACAGCCGAGGACAGGAGAGAAAACGUUGUGGGGAAAGCCAGGAAGUUGCCCGGGUCUCAGUUGGUAGCUUAACAACAGUUGGGGGGGGGGGGGGGGGGGGGGCGAAGAAGACUAUUAUCUCCAUCCUACAGUGUUCUGGAUGGGUUCAACCUUGAACAGCUUGUAGAUGAUGAGCCUAUCCAUAUGGUGUUUAGAUCGCUCAGCUAUUCCCAAGUCAUUAACCUUCAGGACACCUUGCACUUGUCCUCCGCUUUGAUUGACACCUCCGAGUAAAUUAGUUAAAUAUAGAUUCAAGUCAGAAAACAUGAAUUUCAGAACUUUGUUUUAAAUCACUUUAACAAUCAGGUAACCCACACAGAUGUUAAUGAGAGGGUUGGAAGGGAAAGUAGACCUUCUCACUCAGAGCCAUUAGCAAAGUGGUGAGGAAAGUCAGAUGUUUUAAGAUGUUUUAAGAGCAGAGGAGCGCGAGUGCCGAAAUGCUGAGGCACUUUGCGAAAGCCGCCGCCACACCACGAAGGACAAGUUAAUGAGCAGCAGAGAGGAGGUGGAUCAUAAUGGACUUUGUGGCCCGCGUCCAGCCGAGUCUUGACUUUCUUUUUACAGGAAUCUCCACCUUGCCCUCAGAGAAGCAAGGACAACGGAGGAGGGAAAGUGAGAGCAAAGAGGGAGGGAGGAAGCAACGGAGAGACAGUGAGGAAAACGAUACGGAGGCUCUGGGGUUGUAGCUGAUGUUGCCACAGAGUGCUCAGCUCAAUCCAAGUGCACGUCAACUCCAGUUUCAGGGUUUGGGGAACAGACAUCAAACCUCUGGCUCUUUCUCCAGAGAAAGGGAAAUUAAAGUUUUCCAACUCCUGACUUGGCAGGAGUCGCGGUAAACGAUACCUUUCACCUGACAGGGGAGGGCGGGAGACGUCGAGGAAGGAGGUGAUGUCACCGGCGGGGUUCUCCGGGGGGGGGGGGAGCUGUGGAGCACAACAAAAACAAAUAAAACACGGCGGGUGUGACGUGCCGCCGUCAAUCCAUUGUGCAUUAUAUUUCGGACACAAGCUGAUGAACUACAAACGACAAAUGUGUCACAUAACUGCCCCCCGUCUUUCUCUGGCAGCGUGGCAGGGCCGCACGCGGCGCGUGCCAGUGUUUCCGCACUUCCUGCAUCACCGCCGUUUAAACUAAUAUGGACGUCCUGCUGCCCGACUCCACUCGGGCAGAGUGAUCCCUUGUGCCUGCUUUUAUUACCUUGUUGACACCAGCUGCUAGUUUUAAGCACUUUUAAAUGCUGAGGCUCAAAUCACAGAAUUAAUGCCGUUAUUCCUGCCCAGCUUUCUUUUUGGCAAUGCUUUUAAGCCCCAGACUUAACAACAAGCCUGGGUUUUAUACAUCCAGACAGCUGGUGGGAAUAAGGCAGUUGCCAGUGGUACAAAACACUGUGUGUAUGUGUGUGUGUGUGUGUGUGUGUGUGUGUGUGUGUGUGUGUGUGUGUGUGUGUGUGUGUGUGUGUGUGUGUUUCUAAAUGUGGCCGGCGUGUGCCUUUGUGUGUGGGAGGGCAUCUGAAUAUUAAAAACUGUCUUUUAAAAGUUGCUUGUCUGCCGUCCAAAUAUUAAAAUUGCACAUUAUGUCGUAGUGGUCAGUCUUUGUAAGCGACGAUUUAUCUCUCGUGCUCGAUAUUUGGCAUUAUUUAAGGUGAUUAAAAUGCGGUGGAAAUGUGACAUACUGGAAACCAAAUGUUGCAGAUUCCUCCCUCCUCCUCCUCCUCCUCCUCCCCCUCCUCCCCCCCCAGUUUGACACAACUUCCACUCUCUCUGCACUGGCACGCGUCAUUACUACUACGCCUGUGCGGAGUUACUCGUCUCUCAUACACGCACACACAACCACGCAACGACACUCAUGAAAGCGUGCAUUCCCGUGUGCCCCCCCCCCCCCCCCCCCGCUCCCUACACACCCACACACUUUCCCUCACUUCACACACACAAACUAAGCAAUGCUAUCUAGCAGCUGUACCUCUCCUUAUGUGCAGAGAGUGUUGAUCCCAGUUCUUCGCUCACACACAGUGAACAUAUGUCAGUCAGGAAACAAGGCAGACUCUCUCUGCCUUCUCCUGAAUACAAAAGUUUGCUUCUCUUUCAAUACAGCACCUCGGCAAUCUCCUCAGACUCAUGCGUGAAGACCCUAAGCAACGCGUGGAGGUGACCUUGUCGUGUGUUUGUGUGGGUGUUGCGUGUGUGGGUCCAAAUGUGCAAGCGUGCACGUGCGUGUGAUUACAAAGGGAGGAUCUGAGACGCCUUAGGUAAAACAAAUACAGACUCUGAUAGAUGCCAGCAGCACCUGUCUGAUUUACAUUUCCUAAUUGCAAAAGAAUUACCAAAGAAACAUUUCACCAGCACCGACAGGCAGCGCGGCACAGCGACUGGUUCUACCUGAAGGAGAAAGUGUUUUCACACAAAUAUCUGCAGGAAGCUUAGGAAACUUCCACACAAGCCAGAGGCCUCCGGAAGUCUGAUUGGAUGUAUUUUGGAAUGCCAACGUAUAUGUACUUACAUUAGCAACUCAAGGAGUUCAUGCACUCACCAAUACAGAGAAACACAACUAUGUGCACAAUCUUUGCAUGCGAAACAUCUACAAACAUUUGCAUCUGUGUUAAAACGGAAAUAUUCCCAGAACAUAUUUUAACAAGCACAGAUAUCAUCGAAGGUAAAAAAAGAGAAAAUUUGUCUAGCUGUGCAGGUACUGUAUGAUGCUAAUUCCUUACUUAUCAGGUUUCAAACUCAUUAACUUCUGACUCAGCUGCCACCUGAGGGGAGAAAUUGUCCCUUGGGUCCAAAACAGGUCCAACAGGUUCCUCAAGGCCCCCGCC
ensembl:lncRNA